CCUACGGGAGGCAGCAGUGGGGAAUUUUCCGCAAUGGGCGAAAGCCUGACGGAGCAACGCCGCGUGAGGGAUGAAGGCCUCUGGGCUGUAAACCUCUUUUAUCAAGGAAGAAGAUCUGACGGUACUUGAUGAAUAAGCCACGGCUAAUUCCGUGCCGGCAGCCGCGGUAAUACGGGAGUGGCAAGCGUUAUCCGGAAUUAUUGGGCGUAAAGCGUCCGCAGGCGGUCUUGUAAGUCUGUCGUUAAAGCGUGGAGCUCAACUCCAUUUCGGCGGUGGAAACUACAAGACUAGAGUGUGGUAGGGGCAGAGGGAAUUCCCGGUGUAGCGGUGAAAUGCGUAGAUAUCGGGAAGAACACCAGUGGCGAAGGCGCUCUGCUGGGCCAUAACUGACGCUCAUGGACGAAAGCUAGGGGAGCGAAAGGGAUUAGAUACCCCUGUAGUCCUAGCCGUAAACGAUGAACACUAGGUNUCGGGGGAAUCGACCCCCUCGGUGUCGUAGCUAACGCGUUAAGUGUUCCGCCUGGGGAGUACGCACGCAGUGUGAACUACAAAGGAAAGUUAGACGGCGUGAGACGUGCCGAACGGACGACGACGAGGGAGUAGG
rnacentral:rRNA from 1 species